CUUUAGAAGAAAGCAUACAUAACAUGGAAUUAUAGGACAAGGGCUCUGAGCUAGACACAUGUUGAUUGUACUAUGUAGUUCUAGCUCCAUCAAUACAGACACGAUUUCCUAUCAUUAUAAGUAAAUUUUCUAUUAGUAAUGUAAUUUGUUAAGUAAAGUAAAGUAUUACCUGUAUCCCAAAACAUAUGACACGUCACUGUUACCUCCAAAUAUGAUGCAGUUAUUCAAUAUCCAUUGAUUGAUUAAAGAUAUAAUCAGUUAGAGGCAUCAAAUCAAGUCUUCCUUUUUUUGUGGGGAAAAUCAAAUCUUCCUUAAAUAAUUUAAACUGCAC
rnacentral:lncRNA from 1 species